rnacentral:rRNA from 1 species
UUAGCCUGCUAGUUGUGCGGGUUUAGACCCGCAGCGGAAAGCUCAGUAACACGUGGCCAAGCUACCCUGUGGACGGGAAUACUCUCGGGAAACUGAGGCUAAUCCCCGAUAACGCUUUGCUCCUGGAAGGGGCAAAGCCGGAAACGCUCCGGCGCCACAGGAUGCGGCUGCGGUCGAUUAGGUAGACGGUGGGGUAACGGCCCACCGUGCCCAUAAUCGGUACGGGUUGUGAGAGCAAGAGCCCGGAGACGGAAUCUGAGACAAGAUUCCGGGCCCUACGGGGCGCAGCAGGCGCGAAACCUUUACACUGUACGAAAGUGCGAUAAGGGGACUCCGAGUGUGAAGGCAUAGAGCCUUCACUUUUGUACACCGUAAGGUGGUGCACGAAUAAGGACUGGGCAAGACCGGUGCCAGCCGCCGCGGUAAUACCGGCAGUCCGAGUGAUGGCCGAUCUUAUUGGGCCUAAAGCGUCCGUAGCUGGCUGAACAAGUCCGUUGGGAAAUCUGUCCGCUUAACGGGCAGGCGUCCAGCGGAAACUGUUCAGCUUGGGACCGGAAGACCUGAGGGGUACGUCUGGGGUAGGAGUGAAAUCCUGUAAUCCUGGACGGACCGCCGGUGGCGAAAGCGCCUCAGGAGAACGGAUCCGACAGUGAGGGACGAAAGCUAGGGUCUCGAACCGGAUUAGAUACCCGGGUAGUCCUAGCUGUAAACGAUGUCCGCUAGGUGUGGCGCAGGCUACGAGCCUGCGCUGUGCCGUAGGGAAGCCGAGAAGCGGACCGCCUGGGAAGUACGUCUGCAAGGAUGAAACUUAAAGGAAUUGGCGGGGGAGCACUACAACCGGAGGAGCCUGCGGUUUAAUUGGACUCAACGCCGGACAUCUCACCAGCCCCGACAGUAGUAAUGACGGUCAGGUUGAUGACCUUACCCGAGGCUACUGAGAGGAGGUGCAUGGCCGCCGUCAGCUCGUACCGUGAGGCGUCCUGUUAAGUCAGGCAACGANCGAGACCCGCACUCCUAAUUGCCAGCAGUACCCUUUNGGNUAGCUGGG